rnacentral:rRNA from 1 species
GAUGAACGCUGGCGGCAUGCCUAACACAUGCAAGUCGAACGGGGUUAUAUAGACGGAAGUUUUCGGAUGGAAGGAAAUAUAACUUAGUGGCGGACGGGUGAGUAACGCGUGAGCAACCUACCUUUCAGUGGGGGACAACAGUUGGAAACGACUGCUAAUACCGCAUGAUAUACAGAGGUCACAUGGCUUUUGUAUCAAAGAUUUAUCGCUGAAAGAUGGGCUCGCGUCUGAUUAGCUAGUUGGUGAGGUAACGGCUCACCAAGGCGACGAUCAGUAGCCGGACUGAGAGGUUGAACGGCCACAUUGGGACUGAGAUACGGCCCAGACUCCUACGGGAGGCAGCAGUGAGGAAUAUUGGGCAAUGGGCGAAAGCCUGACCCAGCAAUGCCGCGUGAAGGAAGAAGGUUUUCGGAUUGUAAACUUCUUUUCUGAAGGAAGAUUGUGACGGUACUUCAGGAAUAAGCCACGGCUAACUACGUGCCAGCAGCCGCGGUAAUACGUAGGUGGCAAGCGUUAUCCGGAUUUACUGGGUGUAAAGGGCGAGUAGGCGGGAUGGAAAGUCAGGUGUGAAAACUAUGGGCUCAACCCAUAGACUGCACUUGAAACUUCUAUUCUUGAGUGAUGGAGAGGCAGGCGGAAUUCCCGGUGUAACGGUGGAAUGUGUAGAUAUCGGGAGGAACACCAGUGGCGAAGGCGGCCUGCUGGACAUUAACUGACGCUGAGGAGCGAAAGCGUGGGGAGCAAACAGGAUUAGAUACCCUGGUAGUCCACGCUGUAAACGAUGGAUACUAGGUGUGGGGGGUAUUGACCCCUCCCGUGCCGGAGUUAACACAAUAAGUAUCCCACCUGGGGAGUACGGCCGCAAGGUUG